UACGGGGGGGGCAAGCGUUGUUCGGAAUUACUGGGCGUAAAGGGCUCGUAGGUGGCCAACUAAGUCAUACGUGAAAUCCCUCGGCUUAACCGGGGAACGGCGUCUGAUACUGGAUGGCUUGAGUUUGGGAGAGGGAUGCGGAAUUCCAGGUGUAGCGGUGAAAUGCGUAGAUAUCUGGAGGAACACCGGUGGCGAAGGCGGCAUCCUGGACCCAUACUGACACUGAGGAGCGAAAGCCAGGGGAGCAAACGGG
rnacentral:rRNA from 1 species